AGGGCACUGGGGUGUUCCCUAGCUGGGCUGGACCCACAGGCCCCAAUAAAGCACUUCAGGUUAGAAAGCCUAGCAAAAGGACAGGCUUGGUUCAGAGUCACCUGUUGCCUAUUACAAUGAAGUUAGAUGUCUCCUGACCUCAGCCCAUCCCCUGUUGGAUAAAAAGUUUCUGCUUCAGUCUUGCUGUCCACGCCCGUGGAAGAAACUACAAUAGGGGAUUUACUCUCCUGGCCCAAAUCAGGUCGAGCUUCUGGGCCUCCCUACUCCAUGCUGGGGGAUACUGGACAUUCAGAGUGCCUUUCUGUCAGCCCCGCAACACAGCCCCACUGGGGUGGCUGACUGUGCUGACCUUGUGUCUCUGAGCUCAAUUUCAACUGGGGUGUAUCUGAGGGUUAGUCUUCAGAGAACUUGGAAUGAGCAGGGCUUGGAAGCAAUGGAAUCCCAGAAGUAUGGAACACACACAUCACCCAGAUUCUGACUUCUAAUACCAGUCUCUAAAGAAAGGAACAAGACAUCCUGGCAGAUACUGUGGAUUCUAGGGCUGGGCAGGGCAUAUAGAAGAAGAGCCUGGCAUGUCUCAUAGUGCCAGAAUAACACAGCACAAUUAAAAGUCAAGAAGGAGGAGACAGUAAAGGACGAUGAGCAAGUAUGAAGAGAUUCUUCCUUCCCACACUGAGUGCUGUGGUCAGUGCCCCUGUGUCUGUGAGCCAGGUGCCGACUCCCACCCAGUACUCUGGUGAUAUCUGCUGGCCUCCGUGAUUGCUGCUUCGUGAGGUUUCAUUGCUGGGAGGUCUGUGAGCUUCCGGAGGAAGUGGAGGGCCACUUACCAAUCUGUGUAUCCUUAGUACUCAAUCAAGACCAACCCAGCAAAUGCUCAACAAUAUUUUUUUCUAAUCAACUUCAUUUAAUUAAAGUAAAUGAAUUAGUGAAUAUGUAAUAUUCUUCUAUAAGCAGAGGAAGUAGUCAGAAAAGCAAACUAAAUUUUCUUGUCAAAAUAAUUCUAUCUUCAGGAGAAUUUACAAACUUCCCUAUGUGGAGUUUCAAUUCACGUGAUUUUAUUGACGGUAGCUUACUUGGUCUCCUAGCAUACCGAAAACUUCCCCAAGGCUGUUUUAAAUGUUGAUUUGAAUCUAAACACCUAAUUACUGGUCCCUGACUGGAGAUACGGCUCCAGAGGCCCCGCAGUGCUGGCCGCUGCCAAGAGCUGCCUGGCAGUGAUGGAUUGUGCAGCUUGCUAGCCCCGCCAGCUGGGGGCUCAAGACUUCCUACAGAAGUGCCCAGUGGGGAGGCAUGCUCGAGGGGCCUGACUCCUCGUUCCUGCCUGUGUUUUGUAUUUGGGUCCACUUUUGUUUAUUUUUGAGUCAAUACCAGAGACAGAAAGGCCAUAAGUUCUUCUGUUGACACAAGUACAGUCUUCAGCUUUGUAAUGUUCAUCCUUUCCCACCAAGAACAAGAGCUCUGGGGUGACAGUGGCCAGUUCCUGAACUUCCACCAGUAUCUCCGACUGAGUUCUGACCUACCACGUUGGGAGACAAUUCCCCAAGUGCCUUUCCUGUUUCUCCUGACUGAGGUAUUAGCUGCUUUUGUCCCAGACUGCCCUUUCAAGGAUGUUUAUAGAGAGAGCAGUCUGGAAGAUAGUAUACCCCCUACAGAGCAAAGGGCAAGUGUGCUUGCUGUCCAGUGAAAUAAAAAUAAAGUGUCCCUCUGGAGAAAAGGUUAGGCAGGUUUGCUUCCUACAUAUUAUAAAAUACUCAUAUUCCUUAAACUCUGCUUCUCAGCUGUGAUGCAAACUCACUGGAUGUGCAGUGUCCACCGGGUCCCCUCUGUAUCCUCUCAAUGGAAUUUUUGGGGGGCAAAGGGAAUGGAUUCUAAUGUCAUGUUUCUUGCUGUACUGUAAGGAAUAAAGUCUUUUGUCUCUGACU
rnacentral:lncRNA from 1 species